AGACUUUGACUAGAACUGGUCGUAGAGAACAAAACCCUCAUUUCUCCACUCCCUCUCCUUCACUAGGCUGUCCUCUCUCUCCCUCUCUAGCCAUAAGUAGGUGAAAAGCAAAGACUCCCUCUUUAUCUCUCUCGCAGAUUACAGGUUACCAUAUUACUACACAACCACUACUGUUGCCCUCUACCUAAUCCAAUACCUAAAGCCACAUUCAACAAUAAAAUAAAAUUUCCAUAAACGAAUAAAGAAGCUACCUAAGCGAGAAAGUGAAAGAAAAAUGAACGGAAAGUGAGAGAAAAUAAGAACAAAUUCAGUUAUUACUCAUUCAUUUGCCAAUUUAUGAAGAUGCUGUGGUAGCUCUGCUUUGCUUCCUCUUCUUUCUUCUUUUUUACUGUUUAGUUAUCAAAUCAAAAACCCUAAAUACAUUUCACCCACUUUCUAGAUCUUGAACCGAUUGUUAAGUCUUGAGUUACCUUUCCGAUCUAGUAAAUCACUGUCGAUGUGAAACUCGGCUCCGGCGAGUUGAGCUAAUGGAGGACUCAGGCGAUUCAGUUUGUUGAAAUGUUAAGCAUUUUGAAUUAUUGUAGUAGUAUUUUGGUUGAGCCAAGUUCCAAUGUCGGCUUCUUUAGCGGCUUUCGAGCGGCCAGUUGCUUGUGAAAUACUUAUUUAUUUACUGUAAACAAAGAUAAUAUUAGAAAAACACCAUAUAUUAUUUCUUAAAAUAUACAAAACGACUUAUAUUUUGACACAAAAUAACAAAUCAAAAACUACUUAUAUUUUGGGAUAGGGAGAGUAUUAUUAUCACCCUCUUUAAUCAAUAUUAUCGCCACCAACACUAUUUACUAAAAUAAAUUAUCAUUUUUUAUUUAAUAAUAAAUUUUUAAACAUAAAUUUUCAAUAUUUAAUUUUUAAUGUUUCAACUCAAGAACAAAAAUUAAUUAUUUUAAAAAUAUUUUCUUAAAAUUCUUAAAAAUAUUACUCAAUAAAAUUCAUUGGAAUAAUGAGCGAAGUAUUAAUUUUUUUUUAAAAAAGUUGACCAAAUAUUGAAUUUUUAAUUUCACGUAUAAGAUAAUUUAAAUUCCACUUCUAGAUAUUAGUAAUUUCAUUUUUUCUCCAAUUCUGAAAUCAAUAAGCUGAACCGCUCAACGAAGGCGUGGCAGAUUUUAAUACGAUAUGACCAGACUUUGACUAGAACUGGUCGUAGAGAACAAAACCCUCAUUUCUCCACUCCCUCUCCUUCACUAGGCUGUCCUCUCUCUCCCUCUCUAGCCAUAAGUAGGUGAAAAGCAAAGACUCCCUCUUUAUCUCUCUCGCAGAUUACAGGUUACCAUAUUACUACACAACCACUACUGUUGCCCUCUACCUAAUCCAAUACCUAAAGCCACAUUCAACAAUAAAAUAAAAUUUCCAUAAACGAAUAAAGAAGCUACCUAAGCGAGAAAGUGAAAGAAAAAUGAACGGAAAGUGAGAGAAAAUAAGAACAAAUUCAGUUAUUACUCAUUCAUUUGCCAAUUUAUGAAGAUGCUGUGGUAGCUCUGCUUUGCUUCCUCUUCUUUCUUCUUUUUUACUGUUUAGUUAUCAAAUCAAAAACCCUAAAUACAUUUCACCCACUUUCUAGAUCUUGAACCGAUUGUUAAGUCUUGAGUUACCUUUCCGAUCUAGUAAAUCACUGUCGAUGUGAAACUCGGCUCCGGCGAGUUGAGCUAAUGGAGGACUCAGGCGAUUCAGUUUGUUGAAAUGUUAAGCAUUUUGAAUUAUUGUAGUAGUAUUUUGGUUGAGCCAAGUUCCAAUGUCGGCU
rnacentral:lncRNA from 1 species